AGUGAACGCUGGCGGUAGGCCUAUCACAUGCAAGUCGAACGGCAGCACAGUAAGAGCUUGCUCUUACGGGUGGCGAGUGGCGGACGGGUGAGGAAUACAUCGGAAUCUACUUUUUCGUGGGGGAUAACGUAGGGAAACUUACGCUAAUACCGCAUACGACCUACGGGUGAAAGCAGGGGAUCUUCGGACCUUGCGCGAUUGAAUGAGCCGAUGUCGGAUUAGCUAGUUGGCGGGGUAAAGGCCCACCAGGGCGACGAUCCGUAGCUGGUCUGAGAGGAUGAUCAGCCACACUGGAACUGAGACACGGUCCAGACUCCUACGGGAGGCAGCAGUGGGGAAUAUUGGACAAUGGGCGCAAGCCUGAUCCAGCCAUACCGCGUGGGUGAAGAAGGCCUUCGGGUUGUAAAGCCCUUUUGUUGGGAAAGAAAAGCAGCAGGUUAAUACCCCGCUGUUCUGACGGUACCCAAAGAAUAAGCACCGGCUAACUUCGUG
rnacentral:rRNA from 1 species